rnacentral:rRNA from 1 species
GAUGAACGCUAGCUACAGGCUUAACACAUGCAAGUCGAGGGGCAGCAUGGUCUUAGCUUGCUAAGGCCGAUGGCGACCGGCGCACGGGUGAGUAACACGUAUCCAACCUGCCGUCUACUCUUGGACAGCCUUCUGAAAGGAAGAUUAAUACAAGAUGGCAUCAUGAGUUCACAUGUUCACAUGAUUAAAGGUAUUCCGGUAGACGAUGGGGAUGCGUUCCAUUAGAUAGUAGGCGGGGUAACGGCCCACCUAGUCUUCGAUGGAUAGGGGUUCUGAGAGGAAAGUCCCCCACAUUGGAACUGAGACACGGUCCAAACUCCUACGGGAGGCAGCAGUGAGGAAUAUUGGUCAAUGGGCGAGAGCCUGAACCAGCCAAGUAGCGUGAAGGAUGACUGCCCUAUGGGUUGUAAACUUCUUUUAUAAAGGAAUAAAGUCGGGUAUGUAUACCCGUCUGCAUGUACUUUAUGAAUAAGGAUCGGCUAACUCCGUG